UUCUCCGCCGACGGACUAACCACCCGUCCCGCAGUAUCAGUGGUUAAUAACUCUUAAUGGUGUUAAAAAACGUUUUAUUAAUCUUCCAAAUUUACUUAUCUUCAAUAAUUAUAAAUGUAUGCAAUUAAUAUUUGUUUUUUGAGAGAACCUGUACAAAUGUAACAAUGUACUUUUUUAAAUAUUUCACUCUGCAUAAGACUACAACAACAAUAUCAUUAACUUAGGAUUUUUUUUACUCAUAGAUCAACAAAAUCGAUCAAAAUCGUUAGAAGUAAAUGGACAUUAUAGAAAAAACAACAUAAGGUAGCAUCACCAGUGAAUGAGCACUGCCUGCGAACGAACACUACUGAAUAUUUAAAUAAAAAAUUGUCUAAUUUAAUUGCAACAUGUUUUUGUUAGUAAUUUUUAUAAUAAAGAAAAUUGUAAUAUUACUGAAUUAUUAUGAAGAUCUCAGUGAUACAAAUUUCAAUCUUAUACCCAAUACUUUUUGUUACUUACUCUUUUUGAAUUUUACUCACAUUAAUAAUAAAUUUUUACUAUAUUUUUGGUAUACUGAUUAUGAAGUAGAACUUACUUUGCGAAGUGUAACAGAUCACCGUUUUUGAUAGGAAAUAGUGAUCUAUCUGUAGGAUUACAGGUAUAUGGUGGGAAAAGUGUACAGGUUGUACAUGCAUAUAUUUAUAAUGCAUACUCUGACUAUGCUACAUAUUCAUGCAUAUUAUAUUUAAAAUGUAACACUAGUUGUUGACCAAUGCUCACUGAUAUUGACAUCUUGUUUGUAAAAUAAAUAAAUAAAAAUCAAAUUUUAGAAUUCAGAAAAUUUUAUACUUUAGCAAACAUAAUUGUAAUUUUAUUGAUUUUUUUUUUUAAUUAUUUUAAUAACAAAAUCAUUCAAAAUUGAAACUAAAAUGAACUAAUAAACAGAUAUUUU